UGUAGGUAUGCUCGAACAUUUGCAUUUUUCUACACAAUCGGUCUGCAUAUCCUAGUCUUUACUUGUCUAUAUCGAAUGUCAGCUCUAAGCUACCUCGGCAAUGGCUCCGAGGAAGCCCUCAUCGGAGA